CAGUCGCCGCGGGAAAACGUAGGUGGCAAGCGUUGUCCGGAAUUAUUGGGCGUAAAGGGAUCGCAGGCGGUUUCUUAAGUCUGAUGUGAAAGCCCCCGGCUCAACCGGGGAGGGUCAUUGGAAACUGGGAAACUUGAGUGCAGAAGAGGAGAGUGGAAUUCCACGUGUAGCGGUGAAAUGCGUAGAGAUGUGGAGGAACACCAGUGGCGAAGGCGACUCUCUGGUCUGUAACUGACGCUGAGGAGCGAAAGCGUGGGGAGCGAACAGGAUUAGAUACCCGCGUAGUCCCUGUCUCUUAUAC
rnacentral:rRNA from 1 species